CUGUUUAUAUUCAUUAAUCUGAAGUGUGGCUGUCUAAACACACUAAAUUUUCCAAAUCACAUAGAAGACAGUACACUCAAAAAUCAAGCGGAGAAAGGCAUCAAAGCAGCACAACAAGUCAAGGCAUGUUCCAACACGCCACCAGCAGCCGGAUGGGGUGUAUGAGCCUGCUCCUAGACCACAAGAGGGAGGAGCAGAGGAUCAGAGAAGGGGGGAAACCCAGAAAAGACCAAGCAUGACUCAGCCUGCUUCAAGAAGUCUGCAGCUUAGUGAGGGAAACUGGAGGAACUGGAUCAUAUUCAGAGGUGGUGUGAAAGAAUGAAGAAUCCGUCCCUUUAUCAGGAAAGCGUUGCGGCUGCCAACUUUUCGCUCUGGAUGAGUCCCACGCCGAGCUCGUGGAUGAACGCUGGUUUCGAGGAGGCAGCUGGUAGAGCCUGGAGCGCAUGAGAGUCUGUACCUGCCAUCUGCCAGACCGCUGGGUAAUGGAUGAAACCUGGAUGUUUUCUGACGGAGCUGGUGCGAGCCGAGGACGACCUCCACCCGACCAGAGUGCAGACGGACCGGUCGCCUCUUGGCUUCGCUUCGUUCUCUGAUCUGCAGGACGAGCUCUGUGGAUCGUCUGCUGCAGAAAUAGGCCCAGUGUUACUUACCGUCUGAUGAUUGGAACGGCGGUGUAAUGUGUGAAAUGUCUUAUUGUAGAAGCUCAUCUUUCUGCCUCCCUACAGUACUCAGGGGAAGACUGUAAUCUGCAGGUAAAAAUAGUUCCCAGCAUUUUUAAACAGCUUCCACAGCAAACUGCAAGUAGAACAACGUCAAAACAACAUUUUCUGAGGGUUUUAGAUUGAAUUGGAUGGAGAUUUUAGCGUCUCUCUGAGAACAAUACCAACGUGUCUGCAGUUUAACCCUCUGGCUUGAGCGCAUUAUGCUGGGGAAAGAAAAAAUAGAGGCCCUUUUUAAUCUGCAGAUCACCCAAGGAGGCUCUCAUCCACCUGGGACCCCUCCCUGGAGGUGUGCUGUUCCACUGCUGAUUGCCUCGCUGUAUUUUAGCAGCAAUGCACCAUUC
ensembl:lncRNA